rnacentral:rRNA from 1 species
CACGUAGGGCGCAAGCGUUGUCCGGAGUUAUUGGGCGUAAAGAGCUCGUAGGCGGUCUGUUACGUCUGCUGUGAAAACCCGGGGCUUAACCCUGGGCUUGCAGUGGAUACGGGCAGACUAGAGGCAGGUAGGGGAGAAUGGAAUUCCCGGUGUAGCGGUGAAAUGCGCAGAUAUCGGGAGGAACACCGGUGGCGAAGGCGGUUCUCUGGGCCUGACCUGACGCUGAGGAGCGAAAGCGUGGGGAGCGAACAGG